rnacentral:lncRNA from 1 species
AGCUGGUGGACGCCCUGGUUAGCCGCAAUGAAGCGAUGCGCAAGGUAUAAGUUGUAGUCAGGGGCGCGGGAAACAAGACAAUCGGCGGGAAGAUAGCUGCUGGUGGGUCGGUUCUGUCGGUGGCGGCUGGAAUAAAGCCUGUCGCGGUCCAGGUGUUGGACGAGCGGCCUGUGACUGCCGUUCAGGACUGGGGACAGCGGUGCGGUUCUGGUUACGGUAGGGGGCAGCUCUGCCCUUUUGGACACCUAAGUGUAAGCUCAAAGACCUUCUUAUCUUGUUUCCCGCCC